AACAAAAUCUCACUCCCUUAUUCUCCUAUUGACGUUUUUCCAUUCUCUUUUCUUUUUUCUCCUCUUCUUUCUCUCUUUACAUCUUCAUUUUUACUUUGCAACUAGUUUUAGGAUUUCUCAAUCUUCUUUCUUAGAUUCUCGAUUUCACUCUCUCUCUUUUUCAGAUUUUACCCUUCCUUAUUUUCUUAAGAAAGAAAUCAAAUAAUGAAUCAUUUGGAAGAAUAAUAAUUUGUUAUUAUUUGCUGCAGGCGAAGGCGACGUUGUAGGAGCAGCAAUUAAUAAACAAACAAAGAAGAAUGCAGCAAGAUAUGGUAUAUAUUUUGCUCAGAGAGAGCAAUGGUGGUGCGAAACUCAGAGAGUUGGCACCAAGAAUAUCUAGAACAAACUUAGUCAAGAGAGCAUCACGGUCAGUUGCUAACAUUGUAGCACAGCAAGCUUUGAUUGCUCACUCGCAAGGGAUUACGAAGAGCCUUGGAAACUUCUUGAAUACAUGGAAAGCAAGUUGUGUUAGUUUAGUAUUUUACUUUUCCCAUUUUUGUUUAUUUCUAUAAUUUCUAUGUUUUCUGCAUAACGUUUACUCUCACAUUCCAAAAUGAACUUAAUUCUUUUAAUAUGUCUUCAAGUUGGGUGUAAUCUAAUAAGUUGGAAGGAGGGGAAAAUGUAAAAGUGCUACCAUUCGCUAUGUAUAUUUUGGCCACCUUUUGCCUGAGAAUUAAUGUUAUUUGAUUCCUUUAUAGGGACUUCCAUUCUUAGUCCGUAAGGUGUUUACCCAAAUAUUUUCAUUCAUCAAUGUUUAACUAUUCAACGGCCUUUUCUUGAGGAGAGAGUGUUAUUCAUUCAGUAAUGGUUAAUAUGUUAAAGCUGGAUUGGCUGAUUUGGAACAAUGGUGUUACAAGGCAACCGAUGAAGUACAUUUGACUGCCUUCUAGUUCACUUUCUAGUUCUAGGAUAUGUACUUGCAAAAUUUAAAAGGUAUAUAAAUGCAGUAUGCAGGUUAUGAAAA